AUAUUCAGUGCUGCAGGACUAUACCAUUGUCCUUUCAUGUUGUGCUGACAGUACUAAACUUAAUCCAGUGAUCAUUUCCAAUUGCAAAACAAUGCCAAAACCUUCUGAAAUUCUCCAGGUAUUGUUCUUCAUGUACAUUACAAGGGUUGGGUGGACAAGGCUGGUAUGGAAUUAUGCAUUAACAGUGUGUGGAAGAGAAGGAAAGGUGCUUUAUUGAAGAAGAGUUCUCUUCUUGUACUAGAUCAGUUUAGUAGUCAUUUGAAAAAUUCUGUGGAUAAGACAGUUGUGGUCUAGAGUGAGAGAAGACAUUACUGUUAAGUCUUUCAAGAAGUACUUGGAAUCUAAUAAUAAUUUAUUUUUAAAUUGCUUGAAAAUUAAUGUUUGUCUUAUAGUCUGUAGCAUCUUAUAGUCCAUAAAAUACCGUACUUCGUGUGCUCAUAUCACAUAUAUUUUAUGCUUUGUCAUUGAUAGCAGCAGGAAGGUACUACCAAAUUUUGAACUGGAGUAUCAGUCCUCUUUGACCAGUUCUGUAGAUAAAUGAUUCCUGGACCUAUUAAAUGUAUUGUUUCUACAGAGGUAUAAAAACACCAUAGAAAUUUAUCAUCAUAUGACAUUUAUAGACAAAACACCAAUUUUACUAUUACAAUACAUAGUAAAUGAAAUUGACAGUAACUUUUUUUUCCAAAAGGAAGAUGUAAUUCAGUUACCACAUGAUCCGUACCCAAAGUAUAAGAUUUGUGGAGUCUGUUUCUUUUUCUAUUUUAAGAUUUUUUUGAAUCUGUGGUACAGAAAACAAAAGUAAUUAAAAUAAAGUGCUUUGUAAAUUAAUUGUUCUUGUGUUUUUUCAGCAUAUUGAUAUUGAAACAAAGUGCAAUAAUUCAUGGAGUAGUCAGCUGCUUCUUGAAAACUGUGAUAUGCAGUAAAUGAUUGUCCAACAGAAGAAGCAAUUAUGAUCUGUCAUAGCAAACCUAUAAAAGGAGCUUUUGCCGGUGAAUGUGAUUAUUCCAUCACACCAUCAGAGUAUUUAAACGAGCAGGCAUAUUUAUUUCGACAAAAUGAGGUCAUAUGUCCACGGUGUGGAAAGGAAUACAGAUUAAGAAAUUCUUUUCUGAAGCACAUCCAUUAUGUGUGUGGAAAAGAGCCACAAUUACAAUGCCCAAAGUGUCCAAAAAGAUUCAAGACCAGGAGCAAUCUAAACCAGCACAUCAAAGCUGUGCAUCUAAAUGUGGAGAUCCGAAUCACUGAACAGGAAACUGUACACCAAUAUAGAGAAUAAUUGGGAAAAAAUAAAUCAUUUUAUGAACA